CGGCCCCACCUGUAAGCGCUGCCUCCUCUCUCAUUUACUUUUGUCGCAUCGAGAGCUCUACCCGGAACGGCGGCGAGAAGGGACGGGCGGAGGAGAGAUGCCGCACCGCGCGCGGCCGAUGACGGGGCUGCUGGUGUUCAUGGGCGUCAACCUCGUCCUCCUCAGCACCAUCACCCCCGUCUACGACUUCGUCUGCUUCCACCCUGGGACCGCAGGUACCCCCACCCUCUCCCCGCUCCUUCUUCUCCGACUAUAUGCGGAAAUGCCUGUGAUCGUCGUUGGUUUAGACAUACCCACUGGAAACUUCACUCGCCGUGCAAUUCCUAGCUAGAACGAGUGCCUGUUUGGUUGGAUUCUUGUUCUAGAUUUGCCCAUGCGCAUCUGCACACCAGCUGUUUGUGGAAAUGCCCGGGGCGGUUAGAUAGAUAAGUUGUUUGGACUGGAUGUGCCUGGGGGCGCCUCUUCCUGCCGUUCUUGAAAAUUUUCCAGGGAAACUACAUCUGCACAUGUUCCAUGAUAGGCCCAUCCUUACUUCCCAACAACUUGCAAUGAUAGUACUAGGAUCUUGAUUUAUUGAAUACAAUUUUGAAUUCUGUAUGUAAUGUGUAAUUUCUUGUCCAAAUUUGCAGAGAGAACGCCGUCAAAGGGAACGUGAAGCACUGCAAGGCAAUGGUUCUCUAGAAACUGCAAAAUAGACUCUACUAGGUAUCUGCUUACAUUAUUAGCUUAUCACAUCCUGGAUUGUUCAUUUACGUGGGAUGAAGAAAGUUUGAUGAAGUUGCGACCAGGCUUUUCAGUGUCGGUGGGUCAUUAGAUCUUGUUUCGUGAUGCUCCUGCAACGUGUCAGUCAAUUCUCUGUAAUGACAAACCAAGGAACACCAUACGCUGUGAAAUAAGUUCUUUAAACUACACUGUUAUGAAUCUUUUGUCAACUUCUUGUAUUCAUCUGGUGUAACAUAAGCAAAUGAAAUCAUCUAUUUAGUUCA